rnacentral:rRNA from 1 species
UAACCUGCCCAAGAGAUCGGGAUAACACCUGGAAACAGAUGCUAAUACCGGAUAACAACAGAUGAUGCCUAUCAACUGUUUAAAAGAUGGUUCUGCUAUCACUCUUGGAUGGACCUGCGGUGCAUUAGCCAGUUGGUAGGGUAACGGCCUACCAAGGCGAUGAUGCAUAGCCGAGUUGAGAGACUGAUCGGCCACAUUGGGACUGAGACACGGCCCAAACUCCUACGGGAGGCAGCAGGC